UCGGGGCGGGCUGGCCAGGAGGUGGGCACCCGCGGCCACGCCGCGCUAGCGGGUACAUUCCUGGCUCUCCCGCCUGGGGCGGAGGAGCUGGCGCGCUGAGUCUUCGGACCCCGCCAGGCGCGGGAGUCGUGGACGGCCCAAGCUGGGAGCGGGACGGCGAAGGAGUCAGGUGAACCGGGACCCUGUGCAGGGAACUGAGCCACACAGGAUCUAGGAAGACAGUUGGUGGAAAGUUCAGCCUGGGUCCCUGAGAGCAGCAGGAAGGAGAUGCAGCUGCUGUUGGCCCUGUUUGGAGUCCUGCUGGGGGCACCCAGGGCUCCAGCCUUGAACCUAGAGGCCUCUGAGGAAACGGAGCUGGAGCCCUGCCUGGCCCCCAGCCUGGAGCAGAAAGAGCAGGAGCUGACAGUGGCGCUUGGGCAGCCUCUGAGGCUGUGCUGUGGGAGGGCUGAGCGUGGUGGCCACUGGUAUAAGGAGGGUAGUCGCCUGGCACCUGCUGGCCGAGUUCGGGGCUGGAGGGGCCGCCUGGAGAUUGCCAGCUUUCUACCAGAGGAUGCUGGCCACUACCUCUGCCUAGCACGUGGCUCUAUGACUGUCCUGCACAAUCUCACCUUGGUUGCAGAUGACUCCUUGACCUCCAGCAAUGAUGACAAGGACCCCACGGCCCACAGGGACUCCUCGAAUGUGCACAUUUACCACCAGCAAGCACCCUACUGGACACACCCCCAACGCAUGGAGAAGAAACUGCAUGCGGUGCCUGCUGGGAACACAGUCAAGUUCCGCUGUCCAGCUGCAGGCAACCCUGUGCCCACCAUCCGCUGGCUCAAGGAUGGACAGGACUUCCAUGGGGAAAAUCGCAUAGGAGGCAUUCGACUGCGCCACCAGCACUGGAGCCUGGUGAUGGAAAGUGUGGUGCCCUCGGACCGUGGCACAUACACUUGCCUCGUAGAGAACUCUCUGGGCAGCAUCCGCUACAGCUAUUUGCUGGAUGUGCUGGAGCGGUCCCCGCACCGGCCCAUCCUGCAGGCGGGGCUCCCAGCCAACACCACAGCUGUGGCGGGCAGUGAUGUGGAGCUGUUGUGCAAGGUGUACAGCGAUGCCCAGCCCCACAUCCAGUGGCUGAAGCACAUCGUCAUCAAUGGCAGCAGCUUCGGAGCUGACGGCUUCCCCUAUGUGCAAGUCCUCAAGACAGCAGACAUUAACAGCUCAGAGGUGGAGGUCCUUUACCUCCGGAAUGUGUCGGCUGAGGAUGCAGGCGAGUACACCUGCUUGGCAGGCAACUCCAUUGGCCUCUCCUACCAGUCAGCCUGGCUCACGGUGCUGCCAGAAGAGGACCUCACGUGGACAGCAACAGUGCCAGAGGCCAGGUAUACAGACAUCAUCCUGUAUGCAUCAGGCUCCCUGGCUUUAGCUGUGCUCCUGCUGCUGGCUGGGCUGUAUCGCGGGCAGGCACUCCACAGCCAGCACUCCCGCCAGCCUGCCACCGUGCAAAAGCUGUCCCGAUUCCCUUUGGGCCGACAGUUCUCCCUGGAGUCGGGCUCCUCAGGCAAAUCAAGCUCAUCCCUGGUGCGAGGCGUCCGGCUCUCCUCCAGCGGCCCUCCCUUGCUCGCUGGCCUCGUGAAUCUAGACCUUCCUCUUGAUCCGCUGUGGGAGUUCCCCCGGGACAGGCUGGUGCUCGGGAAGCCCCUAGGCGAGGGCUGCUUCGGGCAGGUGGUGCGCGCAGAAGCCUUCGGCAUGGACCCUGCCCAGCCUGACCAAACCAGCACUGUGGCUGUCAAGAUGCUCAAAGACAAUGCCUCCGACAAGGACCUGGCGGACCUGGUCUCUGAGAUGGAAGUGAUGAAGCUAAUCGGCCAACACAAGAACAUCAUAAAUCUGCUGGGUGUCUGCACCCAGGAAGGUCCCCUAUAUGUGAUCGUGGAGUGUGCUGCCAAAGGAAACCUUCGGGAGUUCCUCCGGGCCCGCCGCCCCCCAGGCCCUGACCUCAGCCCUGAUGGGCCCCGGAGCAGUGAGGGGCCUCUCUCCUUCCCAGCUCUGGUCUCCUGCGCCUAUCAGGUGGCCCGAGGCAUGCAGUAUUUGGAGUCUCGGAAGUGCAUCCACCGGGACCUAGCUGCCCGUAAUGUUCUGGUAACUGAAGACAAUGUGAUGAAGAUCGCCGACUUUGGGCUAGCCCGCGGUGUGCACCACAUUGACUACUAUAAGAAAACCAGCAAUGGCCGCCUGCCAGUAAAGUGGAUGGCACCAGAGGCCUUAUUUGACCGAGUAUACACGCACCAGAGUGAUGUGUGGUCAUUUGGGAUCCUGCUGUGGGAGAUCUUCACACUUGGAGGCUCCCCGUAUCCUGGUAUCCCUGUAGAAGAAUUGUUCUCAUUGCUACGGGAAGGACAUCGAAUGGACCGGCCCCCAAACUGCCCCCCAGAGCUGUAUGGACUGAUGCGUGAGUGCUGGCAUGCAGCACCUUCUCAGAGGCCCACUUUCAAGCAGCUGGUGGAAGCACUGGAUAAGGUCCUGCUGGCCGUCUCUGAGGAGGGUACCCCAUCUCACAGAUGACACCAGCCCAGAAAACCGGAAGUCACCUUGACCACCUUCCUUCCUCCAGGAAUUGUAUUCCCUAACAGGAGCCCCGUCAGAUGAAGAUUAUUCUUCCAUUUAAUGGUGGUGACAUUGAGGGAUAUGCCUGCUGUGGUGGCACACCUCUGGUCCUGGCUAAUCAAGAGGCUGAGGAAGGAGAAUUGCUUAAGCUCAGGAGUCACAGUGAGACCCCAUUACAACAAAACAAACAAACAAAAACAACAAAAAAACAAACUUUGGGGUUGGGGUUAUAACUCAGUGGUAGACCACCCGAAUAGCAUGCACACGCACAAAGCCCUCAUUGCAAUCCUCAACACUGAAGAACAACAACAACAACAAAAAAGAAUAGGUCUCGAUAAAGAAGCUGGGCCAACACCCUUGGUUCCCAGCAGGCUCUGUGUACAUUGGAGACCAGACCAGGUCACUCAGAGUGACAGGGGCAGCUGCUGCCUGGUAGUUCCUAGAGGCCAGGAGGGACCCAGCUGCCUACUCUGUGCCCCCUCCCUGCCAGCCUCCCUGGCAGGCACACACUCUGGGACUCUUCCACAUUCCUGACAUCCCAUGUCAGGAGACAGAUGCUGGUAAUUCCCUGGUGCAAGCUUUGCUCAUCCAUCUCGCCUGCCCUCCCCAGCCUCUCUGGGCAGCAUGGCUACAGCUGGGGCCUGGCCCCCUUGGUCUGCCUGAGUUCUGAGCGGCUUCCAAGCCAGUGAAAAGCACUGGUCCUCCUUCCAGAUUCUGAUACUUGCUGGCUGCUUGUAUCUGUCAGGGCUCUGAGGAGAACAAGAGAGAGACAGUCACCCUGAUGUGGAAAGCCCCUGCCAAGGGACAGGAGACAGCUGGCUGGUGAAUGGGCACCUGGGAGGAAGGGUCAGAUUGUGCAUGGGGUGAGAGGAAUGAUACUGUGACAGAAGUUACCCUCCCUGAGCCUCCAUUUUCCUACCCGAAACACAGGAGUGAAUGACGACACCCACUCAGAGUGCUUGUAAGUGCUUAGUAAACAACAGCUGUUAUUGCACGGAGAUUAGGAGGGAAUGGCCUCCAGGACCCUGUGGCUGGCUGUGCAGAGCUGGUGAUCUCAUUCCCUUCUCAGGGCAGCCCUUCCAGAAAGGCAUGGUUGUUCCCAUUUCCCAGAUGAGGACACUGAGGCUUAAAAGGAGGAAGUAACUAGCUGAAGGACACAUGGCAAGGGGAGUAGGAGGAUUGGUGCUCAGGGCCAGGGGCUUUCUUCCACUGCAAAGCUCAUUCCAACACCCUGGGUAGGUACAAAAUAGGGGAGGUCUAUUUACAGGAUGCCCACACAUGGGGUACAUGGACAGUCCAAAUGCUCAAGCACGUAUGUGCCUAGCCCUAUGACCUUCAGCCCCUGUCAUCUCAGAGCCCUCACACAGGCUUUUUUUUUUCCCUGGGGACACUUUUCCUCUUAACACCAAGCCUACUCUUUCCAGAGCUCAUUCAAACCUCAGUCCUCAGGGCAGCCUCCUCGGGUCUUCCCCCCAUUCCAGAUCAGCUUCUAGACUGAGUCUCCCUCACUCAGGGGCUCUUAUCAGUGUAAUGAAAGCAUCACCCAAGGGGCUGGGGUUGUGGCUCAGUGGUAUAGCACUAGCCUAGCACAUGUGAGGCCCUGGGUUCGAUCCUCAGCACCACAUAAGAAUAAAUAAAAUAAAGGUAUUGUCUAACUACAACUAAAAAAUAAAUAUUAAAAAAAGAAAAGGAUUCCCCAAAUUGCACCUACCAGGAAGCAAGCACUGUUCAGACAGAGGAUGUGCGUUUUUUGUGUGGUGCUAAGAAACCCUGGGCCUCACACAUGCUUAUCUUCUGCUCUACCACAGACCUAAAGCCCAGCCACUAGAUAGUGAUUUUUGUUUUUGUUUUUUUUUUUAAUAUUUAUUCUUAAGUUUUAGGUGAACACACUAUUUUUAUUUUACAUUUAUGUGGUGCUGAGGAUGGAACCCAGUGCCUCGUGCAUGCUAGGCAAGCACUGAAUCAUGAGCCACAACCCCAGCCUGGUGAUUUUGGUUUUUUUUUUUCAAGCAAUCAUUCUGAAACUGUAGCAUAUAUCUUAAUGACCCAGAGGGCCCCCACCUCACAAGUUUAUAUUUAGUACCUCUGGAGAGAAGUUUAGGAAUUUAUACUUCUAACCAGUUCCUGGGUGAUACAAAUGUUACUGGAGACAUGGGGGCUUUGCACUUUGGGAACAAGUUGGAUUUCAAGCACCAAAAUUAAUCAAUUAAUUAAAAAUUUUAAAGUAAGUCAGGUGCAGUGAUGUACACCUGUAAUCCCAGCAACUUGGAGAACUGAGGCAGGAGGAUUGCAAGUUCAAAGCCAGCCUCAACAACUUAGCAAGGCCCUGAUCAACUUAACAAAAAAAGGACUGAGACUGUGCUCAGUGGUUAUGUGCUCCUGGGUUCAAUCGAAGAAGAAGAAAGAAGAAAGAAGAAGGGAGAAGAAGGAGGAGGAGAAGAAGGAGGAGGAGGAGAAGGAGAAGAAGAGUUUUGAAGUAAAAAUAAAAAAGAAUUCAUUGUCCAAAAAUGUUUUCAAUGAAGAACAGGAUGCAGCUCAGUGGGUAGAGCACUUGCCUGGCAUGCAUGAAGGCCCUGGGUUUGAUCCCCAGCACUAGGAAAAUAAAAAUGUUCUCAAUGAAAAUAAACCCAAACCCUUGCUCCUCCUCUCUUCCUUCCCCAAGAGAAACUCUCUCCAUUUUCUCAGUCUUCCUGCCAGAUUCCUCCUCUAAACCUCAGUGUCCUCAUCUGGAAAUGGGGGACAAAAAUGCCUUCCUGUAAGGACAGCCAUGAGAAGAGCAUGAAAUCACAUCCAGUUUAGUUGUCACUGUCCUUGCCCACCCCCCCAGACCCUCAUCCAGGUAUGUGGUAGCACACACCUGUAAUCCCAGUGACUUGGGAGGCUGAGGCAGGAGGAUCACAAACUCUAGACCAGCCUCAGCAACUUAGCAAGACCCUCUACCACUGAGCUAUAAAAAAAUAAAAGGGGCUGGGGAUGUGGCUUCUUUGGUUUAGUGCCCUGAAUUCAAUCCCCAGUACCCAAAAAAGAGUGUCUGUUGACAAAAGAGAUGAAGGUGACCCAUUCCCAGGUCCAGGCACAGUUAAAAGCACAGUCAAGACUAUACAUACUUGGGCUGGGGUUGUAGCUCAGUGGUAGAGCCUUGCCUAGCACGUGUGAGGCAUUGGGUUUAAUCUUCUGCA